GCAAACUUGGUCAUUUAGAGGAAGUAAAAGUCGUAACAAGGUUUCCGUAGGUGAACCUGCGGAAGGAUCAUUAAUGAAGUGCUCUCAAUCUUUCGAGAUUGAACCUCUCUUCCAUAAACCCUUGUGAACAAAUCUUUGUUGCUUUGGCGGAUUAUAAUCUUUGCAAAAAGAAUUGCCGCCAAGGGCUUUAAUAUAUUUUCUGCGUUUUUGUAUUGUCUGAUAAUUUAUUUUAAAAAAAAUAAAACUUUCAACAAUGGAUCUCUUGGCUCUUGCAUCGAUGAAGAACGCAGC
rnacentral:misc_RNA from 1 species